AAGUCGUAACAAGGUUUCCGUAGGUGAACCUGCGGAAGGAUCAUUAACACGUAUCCAAACGUUAACCCCCCUGUGAACCUUUAGUGUGCUCGUACGCUUUGUCAGAGCGUGGCAAUCCCUAGUAAAUCAUCGCCGAACAGUUUUCGAUUUAGGCGACCAUAAAACUCGAACAACUGUUAACAAUGGAUAUCUUGGUUCUC
rnacentral:misc_RNA from 1 species